rnacentral:rRNA from 1 species
GAUGAACGCUGGCGGCGUGCCUAAUACAUGCAAGUCGAGCGAACAGACGAGGAGCUUGCUCCUCUGACGUUAGCGGGGGACGGGUGAGUAACACGUGGAUAACCUACCUAUAAGACUGGGAUAACUUCGGGAAACCGGAGCUAAUACCGGAUAAUAUAUUGAACCGCAUGGUUCAAUAGUGAAAGACGGUUUUGCUGUCACUUAUAGAUGGAUCCGCGCCGCAUUAGCUAGUUGGUAAGGUAACGGCUUACCAAGGCAACGAUGCGUAGCCGACCUGAGAGGGUGAUCGGCCACACUGGAACUGAGACACGGUCCAGACUCCUACGGGAGGCAGCAGUAGGGAAUCUUCCGCAAUGAGCGAAAGCUUGACGGAGCAACGCCGCGUGAGUGAUGAAGGUCUUCGGAUCGUAAAACUCUGUUAUUAGGGAAGAACAAAUGUGUAAGUAACUAUGCACGUCUUGACGGUACCUAAUCAGAAAGCCACGGCUAACUACGUG